AUGAUUAGUAGCUUGUGAACUGGUUAGUUGUCAAAAAGGGACAUUCUCCGAAAAGUACGAUCUUUGUCCCCAUGUGCAGUUUCAAACCGUAGUCUGGCUUUUUAAUAGCAGUUUUGGAGCAGUGGCUUCUUCCUUGCUGAGCAGCCUUUCAGGUUAUGUCGAUAUAGGACUCGAUUUACUGUGGAUAUAGAUACUUUUGUACCUCUGUCCUUCAGCAUCUUCACAAUGUCCUUUGCUGUUGUUCUGGGAUUGAUUUGCACUUUUUGCACCAAAGUACGUUCAUCUCUAGGAGACAGAACGCGUCUCCUUCCUGAGCGGUAUGAUGGCUGCAUGGUUCCAUGGUGUUUAUACUUGCGUACUAUUGUUUGUACAGAUGAAAGUGGUACCUUCAGGUGUUUGGAAAUUGCUCCCAAGGAUGAACCAGACAAUUUUUUUUCCGAGGUCUUGGGUGAUUUCUUUUGAUUUUUCCAUGAUGUCAAGUAAAGAGGUACUGAGUUUGAAGGUUUUGCGUACCCAAAGAAUUAUCUUGACACAAUCACACAGGACGAGACUGAGCAUCUAAGGCAGCAUUCAUCUGAUGAAGAGGAUUUCUUCUCAUCACUGACAAACAAUCAGUCAGAAGGUACAGGGGAGCUGGAUGGGUAUCUUGCUAUUCCAUCGGACAAAAUGUAUUUACUUUUUUUUGUUUCCGUACAUAAAGAAGUUGUCCCUCAAACUCAACACAGGCCUGCCUGCAUCUGCCGCCUGUGAACGUCUUUUCAGCUGUGCUGGAAUACUCUACACUGCAAAGCGGGCCAGGAUAGACUCAAUUAAAUUAGAAAAUCAGCUACUACUGAAACUGAAUGGCAACUUCAGAGAGAAGUGAAGUGAGUUAAGUGUUCGAUAGGUAGUUCCACAAAAAAUAUGCCUUUUGAACAUUCAUUUGAACCUUUGUGUAUGUAAAGUUGAAGAUUUAAUAUUAAAAUCAGCUGUGCUGGAUCUUAUCUUGUUGGUUAUUUUCUGGUGUUUUAUGGAACAUUUACCCUGUCAAGCAUUAUAUGUAAACAAUAUUACAUAUACAGUAGUAUCUAGAAAAGUAAAAAAUGUUGAUAUUCAUUUGUUUGUGAAGCUUGCAUUCAAUUGGCACACCCUUUUCACAUGAACUUCCAUUCUUGUAAAAGGAGAAAAAAAAUAAACAUCAAAAUUGAAAUAGCAAAUUAUUUUAGAAGUAGUAACAUUUACUCUUGAGUACUUUUUAAAUGUGCUACUUUUUACUUUUACUUUAGUAGUUUUUUUUUACACUUGUACUUUUACCUCUACUUGAUUACAAUUUCAUUAAAGUAACAGUAGUUCUACUUGAGUAGGAUUUUACAGGACUUGUCUGUACUUGGCUUCACGAUUGAUAUUUUUGACAACUUUUCACAACAUUCCUAAAGAAAAUGAUGUACUUUUUACUCCAUACAUUUUCCCUGACACCCAAAAGUACUCGUUACAUUUUGAAUACUUAGCAGGACAUUGCCUAAUUCACAUACAAAUCAAGAGAACAUCCCUGGGCAUCCCGACUGCCACUGAUCUGGCAGACUCACUAAACACAUGCUUUGUUUGUAAAUUAUGUCUGAGUGUUAUGUCGGAGCAGUCCCCUGGCUAUCCGUAAAUGUAAAAAAUAAAAAUAAAAUGAUGCCGUC
ensembl:lncRNA